UCUGGACUGGUUCGUGAACUUCCCAGUAUAAAAAACCAAGUAUCU
rfam:Lachnospiraceae bacterium 9_1_43BFAA genomic scaffold supercont1.1, whole genome shotgun sequence.